GCUGGGUGCUGUGGCGAGCACCUGUAGUCCCAGCUACUAGGGAAGCUGAGGCAGGAGAAUCACUUGAACCUGGGAGGCUGAGGCUGCAGUGAGCUGAGAUCACACUAUUGUACUCCAGUCUGGGCUACAGAGUGAGACCCUGUCUCCA
ensembl:misc_RNA Metazoa_SRP Metazoan signal recognition particle RNA